rnacentral:rRNA from 1 species
GAUAACCAGUCGAAAGAUUGGCUAAUACCAAAUAAGCCCACAGGGACUUCGGUCCUCGAGGGAAAAGGUGGCCUGUGUAUACAUGCUAUCACUUCUAGAUGAGCCCGCGGCCCAUCAGCUAGUUGGCGGGGUAACGGCCCACCAAGGCAACGACGGGUAGCUGGUCUGAGAGGACGAUCAGCCACACUGGAACUGAGACACGGUCCAGACUCCUACGGGAGGCAGCAGUGGGGAAUUUUGCGCAAUGGGCGAAAGCCUGACGCAGCAACGCCGCGUGUGUGAUGAAGGUCUUCGGAUUGUAAAGCACUUUCGACCGGGACGAAAACCCCCAACCUAACACGCUGGGGCUUGACGGUACCGGGAGAAGAAGCACCGGCUAACUCUGUGCCAGCAGCCGCGGUAAUACAGAGGGUGCAAGCGUUGUUCGGAAUUAUUGGGCGUAAAGCGCGUGUAGGCGGCUUUGCAAGUCGGGUGUGAAAGCCCUCAGCUCAACUGAGGAAGUGCGCCCGAAACUGCAGAGCUUGAGUGCCGGAGAGGGUAGCGGAAUUCCCCAAGUAGAGGUGAAAUUCGUAGAUAUGGGGAGGAACACCGGUGGCGAAGGCGGCUACCUGGACGGUGACUGACGCUGAAACGCGAAAGCGUGGGUAGCAAACAGGAUAGAUACCCUGGUAGUCCACGCC